ensembl:lncRNA
AGUCCCUGUGUCAGUGAAUCCAUGGAGAUGGAUUUGGGGAAUCUGUGGGGACUUUGUUGACCCUACAAAGGACAUAGGUGACCAAAGCAGGCAUCAGUUUCCCCUUCGGAGAAUCAAAGAGUAAAAGAGGUUUCUUGUUUUUUUAGAGGGUCCUUUAAGUCAGAGCCUGGAAUCAGAAAAUGGAAGAAGCCUGGAUUGCCAAGCUCACCAGUUAGAAGAGAACCAGCUGACCCACAGUUCCAAAGGACUCACACUGGAAUUUUCCUCAAUGAGAAUUAAACUGUUAUUGUUUUAGGUCAUUAAAAUUUGGGAUAGUUUGUUAUAGUGACUGAGUUGUCUGACAAAGGGCAAAAAAGAGAUUCUUCUCUCUAUAAUAUGUCAUAC